CCUCUAUGGGCCUGACUGGUGCCCACUUUGUCUCUGCAGCGCCCAGCUCCCCCAUCGCAGAGAAUUCCCUUCACAGAUGGAACAAUUGGGAGUGGGGGCAGUGACCCACUCAUGCAGGCAGCCCGCCAGCACUCCCAGAACAUGCCGCGAUCUGACAGCCAGCAAUGCGUGAGCUGUUCAUCACGCAGCAUGGGUCCUGCUCGGGUCUCCCAUCGCUGAAGCUCCACUCUGGGGUUUCCACCGUGACCUUAAGCAUGCCUGGAUCCUGAGGCUGCAACUUCACCCUUUGCUGUGCAGCCUCUCCCAUCUUAUAGCCAGUUCUGAGGCUGGGACCUCUGGGAAGGGACAAUCAAGUGCAGAGCGGGCAGGCUGCUGGUGGCCCGGAGCAAGGACAGGGGAAGUGAGACUCCGAGAAGAGGAAGGGUCCUCACUGUGAGAGUCCAGGGCCACAGAGGGAGUAGGCUGCCUAUCUGAGAAGGUGGAGUACUGUUCCUGGUCAGCACCCAUCACCCCUCCUGGGCAGCCGUCUGCCCCUUCCCCAUCCCUGUGGUCGUUCUUGAAGACUUCAGCCCUGCUCGCUGCUGGCAACUGUCAUCAUUUUCAGUGACUUCUACAUCCACAGUGACAAUCCCUUCUAUACCUGGACUUCUGGUCCUUGACCUCCUUGCCUCCUGUUGCAAAUCUUGUUGGCAUUUUCCCCAGCAGUCGUUGCUUUCUUCUUCACUGAAUAAGGGUAAUACUAAUAAAGAAAAUGGACACUGUUCUAAUCCCCCAUUGUUCUAAUCUCCCGAUGCAAUGGGCUCAGAGAAAUACGCCCAGUUCCAGGGAAUGAAUCAUGACGGGAGGAAAUCCAUCAUGGACCUCUUCCUCUUUGCUGGCAUCGCUUAGGAGUGAGGAGGACAUUUGACCCAGUUCUGGCCAACAGGGCCUGAGCAGAUGCCUGACACAGGAGGUGGGUGGUGUCUGGGAAGGUUUUAUGUCUCCAACUAGAGAAAGGCAGAGGGAGGAGUCAGUCGUUGCUCACUGCCUUUGACCUGGGAGGGCAAGUAUGUAACGUUGGCAGCUGUAGCAGCCAAAGUGAGACCAUGAGGAAAGAGAUAAAGAGACUCCCAGAGGAGCUGAUGAAAGGCCUGCCCUCCUGAGAGGAUGAAUUCAUCAACCCCAGAGCCUCCUGACUCUGGACUCCGCGUUGGUGAGAUCAUAGCCUUUUGCGCUGAAGCCACUUUGGGCCAGAAAUUCUGGGACAUGAACCUGAAUACACCCCGGCUGAUCCAUUUAAGCCCCAGAAUAAUCUAAAUAUCUCUGUAACUGUUUCUUGUGCUGGUUCCAUUUUCUAACUACCCAGAUCAAAGGUCAAAGUCAUAUGUCAUUCCCUUCGUAUCCUCCAGGGUCCUAGCAUCUUGCUUACCUCAUGGCCAGUGCUAAACAUGUGCAGUGAAUAAAAGUGUAUAAUGAAUGCUUGACAGUCUUGACUAUCAACAGAGCACAGCCCUUCACCCAGACUAAUAUCUUUAUAGUGUAAAAUAAAACAAAACAAGCAAAAAACACAGAAAGA
ensembl:lncRNA